rnacentral:rRNA from 1 species
AUGAGCACGGAGAACCACCCACAAACUGACGGCCAAACAGAGAGGGUGAACCAGUGCAUUGAGACUUACCUACGCUGCUUUGUUCAGGCAUGCCCGAAACGCUGGAGCUUUUGGGUCCCCCUGGCGCAAUUCUGGUACAAUUCAUCGCACCACUCGGCCAUCGGAAUGACACCCUUCAAGGCCAUGUUCAGGAGGGAACCAAGACACUGGGGGAUCACUGCUUCUUCUUCAUCUUCAGUGUCGGCACUAAAAACCUGGCUAGAGGAACGAGCAGUCAUGCAGGACCUCAUCCAAUAG